UUUUUUUUCUUUUUUUUUUUUUUCCCGUUUCCCUCUUUUUUUUAAAGCGAACGCGGGGACCCGCGGGCUGCCGGCCCGGCGCGGAGUCUGCGCGCCCCCGCACGUAAAAAAUAGUUUUAUAUAUUUUUUUAAAAAAAUACUAGUAUCACCAAAGAAUAAUUCGCCGAAAUAAUUUAAAAUCUUAAAGAAAAUCCAAUUGGCAGCCAGUUUUUGUUUUUUUUCUCCUUUCCCUCCUCGCUGGUUGCUCGCUUUGUACAGGAAAUUUGAAUAUCCUGGCAAGAGCCAGCUUCCCAGGGCAGCCUCGCAGUGCUCUGGGAGCUGCAGUGAUGGAGCAUGCACAGCACUGGGACUUUUCCCUUUCUAAUUGAUCCUACAUAGAAUAUUUUUCCCGUAUGUGCAUCAGGUAUAUAAAGACAAUUUUUUUAUGUUUGGAUAGUGAGUUUUCCAAGGUUAAGUCAUUAAUUGCUCACCUCAAAAACCAGGAAUUUUGCUUGUGUGUCUUAUGUGUGUUAAGUGUAGGUGAGGGACCAUCUGCCAAGUUUCAUCAUCUUCUAUUCUGAAGAAAUCCAAAGAACUCACCGGCAACUGCAAAAGUCUGUAUUUAGUUAAUUGACUUUGGUGGGAAAUACAUUAAAACUAAUCUGCUAAUGCACUAAACGUUAAAGAAAUAUAAGAGGGAAGCUUUAAGUAAUGCUUCAGGCAAACUGACCCAAAUCGAAAAAGGAAAAAAAAAAAAAGUCAGUGUGCCUGUUAUGUUUUGAAUUAUUAUCUGACCAAAAAAGAAAUAGGUUUUUUGUUUGUUUUUUUCCUGUUCUUAACAAAUAAACUUUAUAGGAACCGGGCUUCCAGAUCUGCCCCUUGUUUAACUGGAUGAGAUGACAAUGCUAAAACUUGGAAGUAACAAAAAGCAUCAUACUUUUCUUCUCCUCAGCAGUGUUGAGAAAAAGCUGUGGAUCCUGGAAUUUUACAGUGGAUUUUACUGGUUUUCUGGAGUGCUCUCCUACUGAAGCAGUGAUCUGAUUGUGUCCAGAGGGUCUGUGCAGGAGCUGAUGUGCCUGUGUUCAGAGGUGAGUUGGGAAGGUAAGCUCAUGUCCCACCUGCUCCAAAAUACCUGCAGCAUCUGCAUCCCUCUGGGUAAGUGCAGCUCCCUCUGACCCUUCUUGGGCACUGCAGGUAAUACCUUGGAGAUUUUCAGGUGAACUCAAAUUACCCUGUUCAGCUGCCAAUUUCUGAUUUAAAGCUGGGUUUCCAAAGCACAAACUAAGUGUGAAAGAAGCUGAAGUGAGAGAUGGGAUAGUUCAAACAUGGAACUAUCUAUUGCAUAAAAUAUUGAUGCUGUCACCUCAUAAAUGUACUUAUUUUCUCAGAUAUUUCACUGCCUAUCCCAAAUUUCCAGUUACCCAAUACUUGGCGUGACUGUUGAUUUUCCCUCUCUGCUGGAGGCUGGUGGAAGUGUAUUGGACCCUUGCUUUGAAAAAUCCUCCUUACUGAAGAGAGAUUUUGCCCUUGUUGUUGAACUAGGCAAAAGUCUGGUUUAUAUAAAUGUAAAAACAUUAAUUAAAAUGUCAACCUCAAGCACCAUCAAAAUGGAUUCUAAAGCUGAACGUGUUUGCUGUUGCUUUUUUCUUUGGGAUUCAUUUGAAGAGAUGAAAGAAAUAAGAUUGCACAGGUACAGUCAAGUAAAACAUUGUUACAGAAGUAAUUAAUGGUAAUAUUAUGUGGGGGGUUGUUUUGAUUUAGCUGGUACAGUGUAACACUGGGUAUGUGUUUCCUUUGCAGCAAGUAGCAGCUGCUCUUUAGGGAGUUGUCUGGUGCUGUCAGUGUUGAGGACACUGAAGUGGUGAAAAUACACUGCUUUUUUUGUUGAAAAAUGUUUGAUUUCAAUUUUAAAAUCACUUGGCAUGGGUCACAAGAGCUUUUGAAAUCCCUAUUUUUAAGUUUCCUAAAGAAGCAGGGACUCGGUGGCGCGUUGGGUGCGAGGGGAUGGCACAAGAAUUCAAACCCAAGGCGUCAUUUCUGACAUUGUUCAGGUUUUUUUGUGAUGCUGCUUUUUAAGAAAAUGAAUUGAAGGAAGUUGUCACAUAACGGGAGGGGGGGGAGGUUGAAAGGAAAUACAAAAAAUAUCAGUCUGUUUGCAUGGCUCCUGUGCAGCCCAGGCAGGCUGGUGUGUAAGUGCCACUGGCAGCUGCCUUCUGCAGGGCUGCAGCCUCUCCCUGCCCUGCUCUGGUGCUUUCUGCUCUGCUACAGGCAGGAAAUGUGAUGAAGUUCCAGAGAUCUUUAGUUUCUGGUCAUAUAAGGUUUGUCCAUUCACAUGGUAAAUAAGCAUCAUUUAAUCUUUUUUAAAAAAAAGGAUUUUUUUUACAUAUCUCAAAAGUCAAAUUGAGCUGAAUAAAGAUAUUUUAAGGAAAAUUUAACAGGUUUCAACUGUUGGAAUAUGGAUUUAUCAGAAAUACUAACAUUGUGACUUCUGGAAAAUCCUUGAUGUUCAGCAUCACCUAGGAGGAAAGUACAAGGUAAUAUUUCCCCACAGACCAGUUGGAAGAGCUGGGAAGUUCUGCAGGCUCUUCACAGUAGCAAAAGCAACUACUAAGUGUGAUUUGGGGUUGGGGGGAACAGUUAAUUUCUGACCUUGUUUCUGAAACUGGUUUCUUUGCACUGUAUAACUGCUUGUUCUCUUAUAGUUACAGACUGUCUGAUAGCACCUGUGAAGAAAAGAAACCCUGUCCUGUGGUGGUAAUGCAUGCAUGUUAAAUGUCUUCAUUGUAGAGUGUUCUUCAGUUCUUUAUAUCAUGGUUUAAAAAAAAAUUACAUAUAUAUAUAUUCAAAAUACCAUUUGGAAUGUCAACAUUCAGUGGGCUUUGAGGAGAUGUAGCAGCACAUCAUGGUUUGUAGGGACAAGGAGAUACAGACCAUUCUGGGCUGCCUCAUUACCUCAAGGAUAAGACAAGAAAGUGAGCUUCUGGUUAUCAUAGAUGUGGAAGCUAACACAUUCCCAUGUAUCUCAUUAGUUCAGGUAUGUGUAGACACGUUCUCUUGGUGCUUGUACUGUGCACAUCCUUUGCAGUUACAGAUACAUCCCUGUGAGCUCGUGUGUCUGGCCCUGCAGGCAGGAAGGACUUGUAGCUCCUUUUUGUUCUCCAACAUGGGCAUGACCACAUCCUAUACUACAUCUACUCCUCAGCUAUUGCUCUUGGGUCCUUUCCCUGGCAAAGGAUUGAAGGAUUGGCCAAGGGCCCUUGCCCUGUGUUUGGGGCAGAGAGGGGGGUCUGGAAGCCAUGGAGAGCUGUCAGCAGUGCUCUAGCAGCACGUAAAUACUGGAGUUUGGGAUUGCCUGUUGCUCUCCAGUAUUGCAUUGCUGCUUUAGUGAGGCUGGAAAUCGGUCCCUGCCGCACGAGCCGGGGCUCUGGCUCUUGGGGUCCCUCCGUGGCACCCCCACGGUGCUUCCCACACUGCCGGGGGCUCUGGGCUCCCACCCCAAUAAACCACUGCGGAGGCAGCAAACAA